AUUGAACGCUGGCGGCAUGCCUUACACAUGCAAGUCGAACGGCAGCGCGUCCUUCGGGAUGGCGGCGAGUGGCGAACGGGUGAGUAAUACAUCGGAACGUGCCCGAGAGUGGGGGAUAACGCAGCGAAAGCUGUGCUAAUACCGCAUACGAUCUCAGGAUGAAAGCAGGGGACCGCAAGGCCUUGCGCUCACGGAGCGGCCGAUGGCAGAUUAGGUAGUUGGUGGGAUAAAAGCUUACCAAGCCGACGAUCUGUAGCUGGUCUGAGAGGACGAUCAGCCACACUGGGACUGAGACACGGCCCAGACUCCUACGGGAGGCAGCAGUGGGGAAUCUUGCGCAAUGGGCGAAAGCCUGACGCAGCAACGCCGCGUGCGGGAUGACGGCCUUCGUGGUUGUAAACCGCUUUCAGCAGGGACGGAAAAUGACGGUACCUGCAGAAGAAG
rnacentral:rRNA from 1 species